AGUGAGCGCUGGCGGUAGGCCUAACACAUGCAAGUCGAACGGCAGCACAGGAGAGCUUGCUCUCUGGGUGGCGAGUGGCGGACGGGUGAGGAAUACAUCGGAAUCUACUCUGUCGUGGGGGAUAACGUAGGGAAACUUACGCUAAUACCGCAUACGACCUACGGGUGAAAGCAGGGGAUCUUCGGACCUUGCGCGAUUGAAUGAGCCGAUGUCGGAUUAGCUAGUUGGAGGGGUAAAGGCCCACCAAGGCGACGAUCCGUAGCUGGUCUGAGAGGAUGAUCAGCCACACUGGAACUGAGACACGGUCCAGACUCCUACGGGAGGCAGCAGUGGGGAAUAUUGGACAAUGGGCGCAAGCCUGAUCCAGCCAUACCGCGUGGGUGAAGAAGGCCUUCGGGUUGUAAAGCCCUUUUGUUGGGAAAGAAAUCCAGCUGGCUAAUACCCGGUUGGGAUGACGGUACCCAAAGAAUAAGCACCGGCUAACUUCGUGCCAGCAGCCGCAGUAA
rnacentral:rRNA from 1 species